rnacentral:rRNA from 1 species
AGUUACCAGCACGUUAUGGUGGCGACUCUAAGGAGAACUGCCGGUGCAAACCGGAGGAAGGUGGGGAUGACGUCAAGUCAUCAUGGCCCUUACGGCCUGGGCUACACACGUGCUACAAUGGUCGGUACAAAGGGUUGCCAAGCCGCGAGGUGGAGCUAAUCCCAUAAAACCGAUCGUAGUCCGGAUCGCAGUCUGCAACUCGACUGCGUGAAGUCGGAAUCGCUAGUAAUCGUGAAUCAGAAUGUCACGGUGAAUACGUUCCCGGGCCUU